UCCAGCAUCUCCCAGCAUGGAAACUACAGUUACAGCUUAGCCUGUUUUGCUAUGGAACUGUGCCAGAAGCAGUUUUGAAGGUGUUUUAAAAAUGAAGACAUCUGGCAGCUGGCAUCCUUACAAUUCAUUUGCCAAAGACAAGUUGCACGCUGCUGGAAUUUUCAACUGAAGGUCAUGCACCAGCCAUCACCUCCUUCAUUGGACCACAAGGAAAAAUCUUUUUGGAAAAGUAAUGGAGUCCAAUCAACUUAAACUUCAUUUAUCUCCAAUGACUACUGAAAAUUAUAAAACUUGCUGUGGAGCUCCAACAUGCCAGAAGCUACAAGAUAGAGAAUUUUGACAUUCCGUACCUCAUCAAGAGGUUCUCCUCCUCCUUGGAUGAAGGCCAAAAUGAUACUUUCAAUCAGCUGGUCUCUCUUCUCAGGUGUAGAUCACCUAUUAGUUCACCUGUUUUGAUACUCUGAUGAGGAAAGUCCUAGGACUUCUCAGCUGGGAUAGGCCUCAUUUACAAGACAACUCUGUUCAGUGUUUGGAAGAAAGCCUGACAGGUUUCUCCGGAAAAGUGGCCAUCCAUGGAAUGAAUGAAAUGUUCCCUUUCUAUUCCAGGGAUUGCAGUGGCAAAGCUAGGCUAGGUCUUGGAGGCUGGUGUAAGGCGAUGCGGGUGAAGGCAGGAGGCUGAUGGAGAGACUAGGGAGAAGAAAAGCCGAAAUGGAUUCACGGUGCCUUGGAUGGAGGUUGAGAGGGGAAUUGCAGGCUCCUUCAGCUCCUUCUGUCCGGUGAAAAGUGAUCGAGCUUGGGCUGACAAGAGGCUCAGGGAGCCCACGUUCUUUCCCUUUUUUACCUGCCAAUCAAACUGCUACAAGACAACACCCUGAUCUGGCAUGGACAUCGCGGGUCCAAGCCUGUAGCCCCAAAUCGGAUAAUCUCUACAGCUGAUAACAAGCAAAAGAGAAGCCAGGCAACAGCCAUAUUAAAGAAGAAAACAAAUCAACUCUGAGAUCCAACUUGGAAAUAAUGUUUCACUCAAGAUAAGGCUUAUGGUUUAGGAGAUUCUGGCCUGGCUUGCCUCAUUUUAUGACUUCUAUCAUCCGUUUUCAAAACCUGAGAAGGACCUUGUUUCCUGUUUGAUAGUUCCACAUGCUUUGCCAGCCACCGGGACUUUAAGGAAGCUUGCCAAGUGCCUGCGACUGGGAAGGACAGUCCGUGCUCAUCACCAAGAGAACGAGCUGGCACCAGAGUUGCAGUGACUCACCAACCUGGCUGCCCACUUCCUGAUGUCAAAAACCAUACUAUCUAAUUGAAAGACCUGUGUUUUAGCAAAGUGCAAUUGGAUCACACGGCAAAAUCAUCUCAAACUACAUCUCUGACCUUCCCUUUCACUGUUUUGAGCACAAAACCAGGAAGGAAAUGAUUCCUGAUUUAUAGUUUGCUUUUUUUUAAAAAAAAAAAAGAAAAAUUAAGAUUAGUUAACAAAUACUUGGUUUUAUGUCCAAUCUGUUCUAAGAACUUAGUGAUGAUUAUGAAACAGUGAAAAUAGGUCACAGCAAAAUGAACAUUUGAGAUUAGCACUGUUGAAAAUGGCUCCAAAGCAACACUGCAGUGGCUGAAAUCAAUUGUACUGUGAAGUUGUUGAGAUGCCAUUUCAUCUGAAUCUUCUGUAAAAAUUAGAUUUUAAGUAGGUGCCAAGGAUAUGGGAAUGAAUCUUCAGCAUAAGAGAAGAAAAUAGUCACUUUUUACUCAUCAUUCAGAAGCCCUAUAUUCAUGAUUAUCCAGGCCAAAGACCAUAACAGCUAGUGAUGGCACCGGCAAGCCCUGCGGGCAGGAUUCUCUGCAGACCCAGCCAACCUCCAACAAACCCCUUUUUAUACUCCUUUUCUAGGAAGAAUUAUGAUGGCGGUGCCCUGCUGUUGAUCAGUCAAAUCUGUGGUAGGCCUAGAGAUAAGUCCUGUAAGUGUGGUGUACUGUAAAACAGCGGCUCCCAUUCAUUAGUAGAUUGUGUGUAAUAAACCACCAAAAAAGGCGGGGAGGGAGGGCAGGAGAGGCAGCUGCAGUGUGCAAGAACAAACAACGCAGCUCAUUCUUGGGAGCCAAAACUUUGUAAUUUGCUACUGGGCAGCCUACUCUCUCUGACAUUCUUUCUGAUAACAUAGUAGUGCCAUAUCUAUAUUUAUAGUUUGACUGCUGGCUCAGGAGAUUCUAUUUUGUAACUGUGUGUGUGUGUGCAUAUGUAAACACACACACACACACUAUAUAUAUAUAUAUAUAUAUAUAUAUAUAUAUAUACAUGCACAUAUAUAAAACUAUAUAUACAUUAUAUAUAAAAUACGAUUUUAUUAAGAAAGAGAUUAAAAAUACCAUCAAAAAACUGACUGGCAUCCAAAAUUGUGAGACUAAAGGGACAGUUUCGUCUAUGAACUGACAACCUUAAAAAAUACAUGUUAACCAUUGUUUCAUAGUGCUGGUUUUAUAAGGACGGCACUUUCAAAAGAUACCAGGAAAAAUGCAAACAGUGGGGUUAUUGCCCAGGACCAAAUUAUGUUUCUUUGCUAAAAAAUGUUUCAGAUAUAAAAAUGUUUAUUGAAAAGAAAGUUAUUUGGGGAUGCUUGCCUUACAAAAAAAAGUCUUUAACCCAAGUUUUAUUUUUUGGCUAUUAAGUAUCUAAGAAACACUACUGUCGAAACCAAAAUGUGGAAGCAAUGUAGUUGUGAAUGGAAGACAAUAUACCUGUUUGGGGGAAAAAACCACCUCUCAAUAGGCCCUUUUAAUUCAGGAUGAGUUAACCUAAUAAAAAGGACACACUUGAAUUUGCUCAUGACUACUUAACGAGAAAGUGAAAAAAUGCUGCAGUUUCUGUAAUAAACUCUUUCUUUUUGACAUCCAAAGCAGGUGCAUGGCAUUGUGAUGUCAACACUGUACUUGUUUUUCAUCAGCCCCCCACUGUCCUUCCAAAUGGGAAUGGAAUACUGUACAUUCUAGGCAUUUUUUUCUUUGCCACUCGGAACUCAGGGUCAGGAGAGUGGCUAUGGCAGAGUGGAAAGCAUGCCAGUUGUUUUGGAAUUCUUGCAGGUGUUUGAAAAGCAAAGAUUCUUUUCAGAGGCACAUCUGCAUUUGUCAUAUACCAUUUGUGCUAAAGCCUGUGGUGUUUUUGUUUGUUGGCUUGACAGAUUGACAUGUAAUGGCCAGGAUGGUUGGGCGGCUGUUCCGAACAAAGUCAUUCUGAUAGCUGGAGUUCUCCAGAAACCAACUGGCCUGAAUUACCCAUGAUUUUUCUCUAUCUUUCAAAGGAAAGUGGGCCAUUCUUAUGUUCCUCUGGCUUUUUGUUUGCUUUCAUGAUUAUUUUUGGUUAUAAGUUUUAAGAUAAAAUAGUGAUAUGGAUAGUAUAACAUCUAAAAAGAGUUUUCAAAACCAAUUAGUCAUUAAAAUUUACUUAGAAUUAGCUAAAGAGAUUGUGGAAUUUAAAUAAAUAUUGAUAUAUCAUAGAAUUGAAAUAAUAAAGAGAAAAUAUCUGAAUCAGUCAUGAAUAAGAAAAAUUAGUAGAGGCAAAUGCUGUGACUUUAAAACUUUUUAAUGGUUUUAUAAACAAAAAUAAAAUCCCUGUUUUAAGUUA